UAUAGUGUGACUCCGCCUCCUGUUUGCCCUCUCUGCUUCUGGGCUGCAGGUGAAAUGUGAUCCGUCAGCUUCCAGUUCCAGCUGCUGCAAGGCCCUCCCCUGCCAUGGUGGACUCUCUUCCUCUGGGACUGUACACCAAAACAAACACUUUUGUUUAUCACCGCAACUGUAAGAUACUAAUACACGGGGCCGAAUGUAUCUUUAGAUUUUUGAGGAACCUCCACACUGAUCUCCAUAGUGGGUAUACUCAUUUGCCCAUCCACUAACACCCCAAAAUGACAGAAAACCGACUGCUGGAAGCUAUGGGACAGACAAGCCUUACCUCCUUGGAAGUUGUUGAACUCAGUUAUUUUGUCAUGAUGCUGAAAGAUGAACAUGGGUACCUUGUAGAAUCUCAGUAGUAGCUUCUGGAUGAAUUUCUCCAUCUACCAACCAUAAGAUUCUGUCUGUCUUGUGCAUGUGAGUUUGUGUGCUUGAACAAGCCAGAAGAGUGUCAAAAGGCCCGGAGCUGAAGGGACAAGUGGUUGUGACCAGCCCAUGGUGGGUAAUCGGGAGCCAAAUCCAGUUCCUGUGGGAAAGCAGUCUGCACACCAAACCUCUGGGCCAUGCUGCCAGUGCCUGCAUGCAAAUGUAUCCCGGAGUGAGAAGCUUGGACUUCAUCUAGAUACCCAGCAGAGAACCCUAGUGGCUUCAUUAGACAGCCAGGAAGGACGCACAGCGGUGCUGGGUGAAGAUGGUUCACAGAGAGGAGUCCCUGACGAUGAAGAGCACCGCGGCGCAUCAGAGGCUGACCGUGACCAAGUGAGAGCAGCCACAGAGCCAGUCCUCCUGCAGCUGCAGAGGUGGUCAAAGAGCUCGUAGAGUGCCAGUCAGCGGCCGUUUGGCAUUUGAAGCAAAUUGGGAAAGCGACGAAGCUUGGUAAGUGGGUGCCUGCGGGCUGAGUGAAACCCAAAACCUCUGCCAUUUUGAACUGUCUGCUUACACUCCGCACUCGGCAAGGAGCCAUUUUGUGACUGGAGUGUGAGCUGGGAGGAAAAGCGGAUUGUAUGUGACUACCAGGAAUGACCAGCUGAGAAACCGUUUCCAAGUGUGUUCCAAAGCCAAGCUGGCACCAAAUAAAUGACACGGUCACCAUUCGGUGGUCUGCUACUGAUCUGCUCCACAACAACAUAGACAUUGAUCCUGGUAGGGUUUGAUCCAGAAGGGUUUGGUCAUGGCUACUUGGUGCUCUCCUGUUUCUUGCAUAUAUAUUCACACCCAAAACAACUCACCACACCAAGAACACCAAGUAAUGGCAAGACAUCAAAUCCAGACCAAGAAUGCUGAAAGGAGAGAGGCUCCCCUGAGGAGAAAAGGUCAUUGUAUACGAUCAUUUCAAAUAUUGUGCUGGUAAAUGGAAGGGAGCAUGUGCACACAAAAUACUGAUCAGGCUACUGAGGGAGCCCAGAGAUCAUAUAAUAUGGAAGAGAAUGGUGAAGAGAGAACUUGGGGUGGAGAGCCUGGGAGACAGACAGGAAGUGAGACAGGGGAGACCCAUUGACAGGUAUUUGAGGAAGUGUUACGUCAUACUAUUUCUGGGGAGAUGUGAAGAAAUGUCUGCCCACCCCAGACAGUGAAUCCAUGAUAGACCAAAGUAGAGACACCACCAACAUCCAACUGAGAGAACCAGUGAGUUUCACUGGCUUUAUUUACAGGAGUAUGGGUGAGGGGUUACUUAUAGGAGCAGAAAUGACUUGAAGACCAUCAACAAAGCCCACCCCAGCCUGGGUGAUAGCUCACAAAAGCUGUGAACCUGGAGCUCACUGUAUAGCCUGUAGGCAGCUCAACAUCCUUUUCAGGCAACUUUACCUGUCUCUGCCUUUUUCAGGCAGUUUGACUGAUCUCCACUUUUUCCUGGUGGCUUAGCUGAUCUGAGAGUCUUCUGGGCAGUUCAUUAGGUCUGAGACUAACUCUCAGCAGUCCUCAGAGCUUACACGUGCUUGGAGAAGGAUGGGCCUAGUGAAUCUGGUCAGUUUCAGGGACUUCCUGAAGACUUUGAGUUGUGUACUUGCUGGGCUGACUAGGCUUCCUCGCAUGGUGGAAUGUUCCACCUCCCUUUUCCAUCCAAAACAGAGGAUUUCCUCAGAGGAAAUUGUUAGGUCAUAGGAGGCUCUGUAGGAGAGGACCUAAGCUUGUUGGGUGCCUUGUUAGAAUCCUGGUGGAAGUCACAAGGAGUUUUAGUACAAAGUAGGAGACUUCAACCUAAAAGCUAACAAUAGCAUGAGAAUUCUGCUAAAGCAGUAGGCUCUUCAACAUCUCCUAUGUCACAGUACCCAGUAGUUCAUGUGCCAGGGCACAACACACUAGAUGGAUACCCAGUUAUGUGUCUUCUUGACAUUUUGAAUCAAAAGAAGCACCUCACUGUGUAGCUCAGGCUGGCCUGUGCUAUCCUCCUGCCUCAACUUCCUGGAUUGGAAUUGUAGACAUGCCCUACCACGGCUCACUACACGUUGUCUGCUUCUAAUGGGAAUUAACUAGUUGAUUAAUUGCAGAUUUCCCAAGGGUCAGUCUUUCAGCUUUGGAGUGAAAUAUUCCGCCCCAUAAAAACCAAGACAAGGAGAUAUUGGAGGACUAGAUGUAGAAUUGAUAGUUGGCAAAGGGCCAACCCUGAGAGAAGAAAAAUGGAGGCCCAGAGAAAAACUCAAAAGUUCAAAAAUAUUUUUAUUUGGAAUUAAACUCCAUAUAAUAGUUUAUUUAAAAAAAAUGAACUAAGCCGAGGUUGUUGUUUCAAAUCUGUAGUCCUGACUCUGAAGAGGCUGAGGCAGGAGGAAUAUGCUAAGUUUCAGUACAGGUUGGACCCUCUCUGGACAAAUAAUCUAAUAUUUGCAUACAUAAAUAUGGAUUAUGUCAAGAGCAUGAUGUUUAAUGAAACAUUAAGUCGUAGACAUAUAGGGAAUGUAUGUCUUCCCUAUAUGUGGUGGUACAUGCCUUUAAUUCCAGUACUUGGGAGGCAAAUGCAGGGGGAUCUCUGUGAGUUCAAGGCCAGCCUUGUCUAUAGAGUAAAUUCUAGGACAGCCAGGGCAAACUCUGUCUCAAAACAAUUUAAAAAAAGAGAGAGAAAGAAAAGAAAGAGAAAGUGAAAGUAUGUUUCAGUCUUAGGAUGUAGGGACACUAGGAAAAGUCAAACACUCUGUCUUACAGAAAUGCAUACAGAUAUGGUAGGCUAUAACUCGAGGACAAGCAAGGUGAGGGUGGGGGAGCUAUCUCAGAGGUUUCUUGCCCGCUUGGCCUGUGUGAAACUCUAGGUUCAGUUCCCAGUACCACAAAGAAUACACAACACAACACCCAGGAAAUGCUUGGCAAUGGCAGCCAAGUAUAUGGGUUCCUCUUGGGAAGAGCUUACAGGAUCUUUCACGACCAGUGAAGUUAAUCCCUUACACUGUUCAGUGGCUAUAAAGGUAUUUCUUUAAGGACACUUAAGCGUGUACUCGAAGUGUCCUUGUACUCCCGAGUGUAGGAUACAGUCACCAGGAUCAGCGGAGAACAGAGACAAGACAGACAUGAUGUGUGGGGAAGCACAGCAAGUCUUAAGGCGGAGUAACAGAAAUAACUCAGCACACAGACAGAGUAGACUGUGACAGAUCGCCACCAAAGCAGAACACUCUCUCCCAAAGCACUCCAGCCUUCUAGAAUCUAGAGACACAAGGACUGGAGAGCCCUUGACUGAUGAUGGAUUUAUCCACCAUGAGAGAAGCCAGCAGGUCCUGAAUGUUAUCUUUAAACUAUUGAUGGAGAGAACAGUGAACCCCAAUUCCUUACCUGUGAGUUACACCCAAGCUUUAAGGCAUAGCAAAAGUACUUUUAGACGCAGAAGCUGAGAGAAUUCCUUCUCUUAGAACUCACUAGAAAAGGCGCCAGAAUAGUGUUUCCAGUAAGAAGAAAAUUAACCAGGAGGUGAUUACUAGAAAUUAAAAACAAACAAACGAACACCAUACGUGGGGGCUGGAGAGGGUGGGCUCAGUGGUUCAGAGCCCUGGCUGUUCUUGCAGAAGACCUGAGUUACCAGUGCCCAUAGGGUGGUGCACAGCCAUUUGUAACUCUAGUUCUGGGGGAUCGGAUGAUUUCUGGAUUUUAUAGGCACUGCAGACACGUGGUGAGCAGACAUCCAUGCAGGCAAAACACCCAUAUAUACGAAAUAAAACAUAAAGGGGGGGGGCAGGAAGCAAGGGUGAGCAGAGAAAUUGGCCAACAUAUUAGCAACACACACACACGCACGCACGCAGGGUACGGUUUAUGUAAGUGUCCCGAAUAGGUCCAUGCUGCUGGGAAGUAGAAGCCAUGACCCCUUUUGGGAGGUGGUCAUUGGGAUGUUCUGGGAGGAAAAUGAAGGUUUUGCUCACUUCUCCCCCUUUCCAGCCAUGAGUUGAGUGGCCAAGGGUGAAAAGCACUGGGAUGGGGAGUGGCUAUGAUGCCAGUCAUUCAUAGAGCGACCGGAAGGGUGGUAAGGAGCGGUAGACUGAGCUCCAGCUAGAACCUGUUGAGGAAUAUCAACGGUGCAUACCAUGGAGCCUUGGGUAAUCGUUCUAAGGAAAUAUUUGUAAGAAUGAAUUCUUCAGUAUUGAGAGAGAAGUGUUCUAAAGGUAGAGUGACCCUUUUCUGUUGCCUUUCUGUAAACGUGGUUCCAAGCCUACCCGGCAACACCGGGUGGCACGUUUUCCUUCCCGUGGUCCUUGAGAAGCCGCAUUCAGCGUGGACUGUUGUGUUUGACUGUGUGACUAAGUCAUCCUUGAAUGUAGCUUUGUGGGCUCAAAUUCAAGGUUCUUCUUGCAGUCAAAGAAAGGAAUGGAGAUGAGUGAACUGCCCCGACUUGUUCCACCUCUGCCUUGGCUGAAAGGUGUCUCCAUGGCAGCCAGCCUACAAGAUACACUUCCGAUGAUGGGAAGUCAGGUGAGGUUUAGAGAAUGUUCAGGAGAUGCUGCUGGGAAAUGGCUUGAGGGGCCUUCUCUCUCCCCUAGAUAGCAUCGGAGGGCAGGGGGGGACAAAGAGUUCAGAUCUACCAGCUGGUAUUUGGAAAUUGAAACAAAACAAGCCCCAAAUCUGUUGCUUAAUUUUUCCCCCAGCAGCUUGACCGAAUAAACAAGGGAAAAAAUGGUUUGUGUUUGUGUGUGUAUAACAAACCACAGGAAGCAAGAAGCUAUAGGCUAAAUCCUGUGGCCUCUGCGAGCCCCCCCCAACCCCUAAAAUCUUCCCGCAACCCCCCUACCCUUAUAGUGCAGGGAUGGAGUGAGGAAGCAGGCUGGGCAUCUCAGUCAAGCCAGUUCUGUCUUGCUGGAAUGCAAGGUAUUUAAAGAUUUGUUUAUUAUGUAUACAGUCUUCUGCCUGCAUGUACGCCUGCAGGCCAGAAGAGGGCACCAGAUCUCAUUAUAAAUGGUUACGACGGGGGUUGGGGAUUUAGCUCAGUGGUAGAGCGCUUGCCUAGAAAGCGCAAGGCCCUGGGUUCGGUCCCCCGCUCCGAAAAAAAGAAAAAAAAUAGUUAUGACAUAGUUGCUGGGAAUUGAACUCAGGACCUCUGGUGGAGCAGCUAGUGCUCUUAACCUCUGAGCCAUCUCUCCAGCCCAGAAUGCUGGGCUAAUUAAAUAAUCUGAUGGGUGAUUAUCAGUCUAGAUGCCACAACACUCCAGAGUGGGUAAUUUAUACAGAGAAAAGAUCUAUUUCAUAGGGCUCUGAAGGCUGAGAUCUAGGGUUGAGGGUUGUUAUCUGGUAAGGGUCUUCAGGUUGGCAAGGGUCACAUGGGAAAAUCUUUUUGUACAGCCACUAAUCAUGGCCAGAUAUGGGGACAUUAUCUAUAAACCAGCACUUGGGAGGCUGAGGCAGGAACAGCUCAAGUUCAAAGCCAGUCUGGGUUAUAGAGUGAUACUUUGUCUAAAACCAAAGGAACAAGAGCGGGUGAGAUGGCUUAGUAGGUAAAUGUGUUUGCUGUGCAAGCGUGGGGAUCUGAGUUCGAUCCCUAGGAUCUAUGCAAAGGUGGAAGGAGAGAAGUGACUCCACAAACUGGUUCUCUGGCUUCCUCAAGUGCACUGUGUUAUAGAUACCCGCCCAUGCACAAACUCACACACAACAGUAACUUUCAAAAGCAAACCUAGGGCCAGUCGUGGUGGCACACACCUUUAAUCCCAGCACUUAGGAGGCAGAGGCUGUGAGUUCAAGGCCAGCCUGGUCUAUAUAACUGAGUCCAUGACAGUCAGGGCUCUGUUAUACACGGAGAAAACCUCUUGGAAAUACAGAAGAACAAACAAAAACCAUACACAUAAAAUCAACUGUUUAAUUUAAACACAAUCAUGUAGUCAUUCGUGUUACAUCCAAAGUAUGUCAAUCAUAAAUCUGAUGAGGGCUGGAGAGGUGGCUCAGCUGUUAAGAGCACUGACUGCUUUUCUGGAAGUCCCUGAGUUCAAUUCCCAGCAACCACAUGGUGGCUCAUGGCUAUCUGUAAUGAGAUCUGAUGCCCUCUUCUGGCGUGUCUGAAGACGGCGAGAAUGUACUUAUAUAUAAUAAAUAAAUAAAUCUUAAAAAAUAAAAUAAAUCUAAUGAAUUAAUACUCCCAGAUAACCGUUACCCCCUCGGGACUUGGUCUCUAUGGCCUUGAAUGCUCACAGUACUUUCUUGCGGUCCCCCUCUUUCCACCCCUAGCCCUGGUAGCUACUUGAUUUGCUUUCUUUUAUGCUAUUGAUUUCCUGAAAAGACUGUUUGCCUUUAGCGUGUGUCCCAGGUCCAAUUGUUUCCUUGUAAGAGUCAUUGACGGGGUAUUCCAGUUACUGUACUUCCUGUGCACGGGCAAGUUAGGCCUAAAGGCUUGGCUAAAUACAGUUACACAACCCAGACAGAUACAAAACCCUCACAAUGACUUCCUGUCCCUGGGACGCCAGGGCGAAGACGGCAAGUUUGAGUCUCUGUCCUUCCUUCCUGGGAGGAAGGACAAUCUUUGUCAGAAGAGUCCUCCAUCUUCAUGUGGGAGGACCAUCUGCUUUCCAAAUAAAGUCGCCUUCCUCGACACUUUGAUGCUCCAACUUAGUGGCCUGUUGGGUUCGUAGGUUUUAUGAUCCCUGCCGCCCCCGUCUCCUGACCACAGGGCUGUCCUUUGUUCCGUAUAUUAUUUCCUUAAAAUGUAAAGUUAUCCGCUCAGGGUUCUGCUGGCUUUCCUUUUAAAGGCCAGCAUUAAAGGUUCUGUCAUUCUCCCCUGCUCCAGGGCUAUUUGUAGAAAUAGCACAGGAAGCCAUAUUGUACAGCUGGCAGCUGUAGGAUGGGAAGAGACUAAGCCCAUCUGUCGCCAACAGCAUAGACUGUAGCCCUUAUUGUGGGCCCUUUUAGGGAGCUAAAGUCCCCUGGGCCUGGGAUUGGGAUCCUGGCCUUCGACUGGAAGAGUGUACAGCCCUUGAAGAUGUGGGCCUGAGGAUGCUUCCCAAGCAAGAGAUGGACGAGAUAUGGUGUAGGCUCGUCAGUGGAAUCUGUGAUGGAGAUGGGCCAUUUGAGAUCCUGAGCCCGAGCCCCUCGCAUGUGCUCACGGCUUUGGCCUUGUUGGAUGACAUUUUCUUUAGGCCCUGCUUGUACUUCUUAGGGGCAAGGGGGCGUGGGGAUGUAUGUUUUGCGAGUGUGGGAUCCACCUCUUGGGGAGUCUCUGUAUUUCUCGGUACCAUAUCUGUGCUCUUUGGGGACCGGCUGCAAACAGUGAACUUCUUAGAGUUCACCACGUCUGCAUUGCACCAUACAGUUCCCAAAGCCUGAGGACUGAAAGAGCAGGAUUUAAGGGGAAAAUUUUAUUUUUAUGUUUUUAUGUGCACCUCAUGCAUGUAGUUCCCAUGAAGGCCAGAAGAGGGCGCCAGAUUCCCUGGAACAGACUCACAGGGGAUGUCUGUGUAGGUGCUGGGAACUGAGCCCAGGUCAUCUACAGGAAUAAUCAAUGCUCUUAUCCAUUGAGCCAUAUCUUCAGCCCCUGAGACUCCAUUUUAAUUAAUUUUCUUUUUCUCAGAUUGGCCUUGAAUGUGCUCUGAUUUUCUUUCUGAGGCCUCGUGAGCACAGGGAUUUCAGGCAUGUGCCACCAGGCCCAGCUAAGAUUCCAUAUUUGAUUCCACCCAACUCUUUCUUCUUUCCUUGUAUCAGGAGAUACACAAGCGGGCUGGAGGGAUGGCUCAGCGGUUAAGAGCACUGACUGCGGGGUUGGGGAUUUAGCUCAGUGGUAGAGCACUUGCCUAGCAAACGGAAGGCCCUGGGUUCGGUCCCCAGCUCUGAAAAAAAGAAAAAAAAAAAAAAAAGAGCACCGAUUGCUCUUCCAGAGGUCCUGAGUUCAAGUCCCAGCAACCACAUGGUGGCUCACAACCAACUGUAAUGGGGUCCGAUGCCCUCUUCUGGUGUGUCUGAAGACAGCAAUGUUGUAAUCAUAUAAAUAAAAUAAGUCUUUUUUUAAAAGGAGGUAUGGGGGGUUGGGGAUUUAGCUCAGUGGUAGAGCGCUUGCCUAGGAAGCACAAGGCCCUGGGUUCAGUCCCCAGCUCUGAAAAAAAAAAGAACAAAAAAUAAAAUAAAAUAAAA